GGAGUUAGCCGGUGCUUCUUCUGUGAGUGAUGUCCUUCCUGCCGGCUAUUAACCCGCAGACCUUCUUCCUCACUGAAAGUGCUUUACAACCCGAAGGCCUUCUUCACACACGCGGCAUGGCUGGAUCAGGGUUGCCCCCAUUGUCCAAUAUUCCCCACUGCUGCCUCCCGUAGGAGUCUGGGCCGUGUCUCAGUCCCAGUGUGGCUGAUCAUCCUCUCAGACCAGCUACGGAUCGUCGCCUUGGUGAGCCGUUACCUCACCAACCAGCUAAUCCGACAUAGGCUCAUCCGAUAGCGCGAGGCCCGAAGGUCCCCCGCUUUCCCCCGUAGGGCGUAUGCGGUAUUAGCCUGGGUUUCCCCAGGUUAUCCCCCACUACCGGGCAGAUUCCUAUGCAUUACUCACCCGUCCGCCGCUCGCCACCAGGGAGCAAGCUCCCCGUGCUGCCGCUCGACUUGCAUGUGUUAGGCCUGCCGCCAGCGUUCAAUCUGAGCCANANAGACCCAACGUACCUGACGUCGGGACGUCGGGGCCUAGGGCCGAACGGCGUACGA
rnacentral:rRNA from 1 species